GUCCGCAAGUUCCCUCCCUUGUUUCCCCAUUGGUUGGGUACUCCAAGGUUUACAGCCUAUCUUACGUGUAUAAUCUACAUGCUAACUGUUCCGCCUCUGUUUACAUCUCCCCUUACUCGAUUUUGUAUGCCCCUUCCUCUUAUUUAUUUAUCUCCUUUUAUGGUUUGAUUUCAUAACUCUCUGGCAGACAUGUGGUACCCCAACUUACUGUUUAACCACAGAGUCAGUUUGCAGAGGUG